rnacentral:rRNA from 1 species
UACGAAGGGGGCUAGCGUUGCUCGGAAUCACUGGGCGUAAAGGGUGCGUAGGCGGGUCUUUAAGUCGGGGGUGAAAUCCUGGAGCUCAACUCCAGAACUGCCUUUGAUACUGAGGAUCUUGAGUUCGGGAGAGGUGAGUGGAACUGCGAGUGUAGAGGUGAAAUUCGUAGAUAUUCGCAAGAACACCAGCGGCGAAGGCGGCUCACUGGCCCGAUACUGACGCUGAGGCACGAAAGCGUGGGGAGCAAACAGG